rnacentral:rRNA from 1 species
GAUGAACGCUGGCGGCGUGCCUAAUACAUGCAAGUCGAGCGAACAGACGAGGAGCUUGCACCUCUGACGUUAGCGGCGGACGGGUGAGUAACACGUGGAUAACCUACCUAUAAGACUGGGAUAACUUCGGGAAACCGGAGCUAAUACCGGAUAAUAUAUUUAACCGCAUGGUUCAAUAGUGAAAGACGCUUUUGCUGUCACUUAUAGAUGGAUCCGCGCCGCAUUAGCUAGUUGGUAAGGUAACGGCUUACCAAGGCAACGAUGCGUAGCCGACCUGAGAGGGUGAUCGGCCACACUGGAACUGGGACACGGUCCAGACUCCUACGGGAGGCAGCAGUAGGGAAUCUUCCGCAAUGGGCGAAAGCCUGACGGAGCAACGCCGCGUGAGUGAUGAAGGUCUUCGGAUCGUAAAACUCUUUUAUUAGGGAAGAACAAAUGUGUAAGUAACUAUGCACGUCUUGACGGUACCUACUCAGAAAGCCACGGCUAACUACGUG